ACCUAGAAAAUGAGUAUAAAAUCCAAGGAUCAAUCUCACUAGCCGGUCAAUCAUUUUGGCGAAGGCCGGUUAAAGAAUACGGGAAAAAGAUGCAGAUUUUCGUGAAAACCCUAACCGGCAAGACAAUAACUCUCGAGGUCGAGAGCAGCGACACCAUUGACAACGUCAGAGCUAAGAUCCAAGAAAAGGAAGGCAUCCCUCAGGACCAACAACUUCUCAUUUUGGCCGGUAAACAGCUCGAAGAUGGUCGUACUUUGGCAGACUAUAACAUCCGGAAAUAAUCAACACUUCAUCUUGUUUUAAGGCUGAGAGGUGGAAUCAUUGAGCCUUCUUUGAUGGUUUUGGCUCG